rnacentral:tRNA from 1 species
GGGGCCGUAGUCUAGCUUGGACUAGGAUGCCAGCCUGGGGCGCUGGUGAACCCGGGUUCAAAUCCCGGCGGCCCCACCA